GGUUAUUUUAUGUAUAGCAUUUUGGUUGGCUUUUUAACCGUUGGGUUUUUAAUUUGUUUAAUAGGGCCAGUACAGUAUAUGAGAUACAGUACUCUUAUGCACAUACCUGUCCUAAAUGAGGAUCAUUACUAAAUAGAUUUUUUUUUUAAUUUGUCAGGUGUUUUUUUUCCCCCUCCAACACUUUCAUUACGAGGGGAGGAGAGCUUUGUUUCUCCAUUAAGCGUAGGUAUCUAUAACUACCCUUUGUUGUUUGGCUGAAACCAGUAGGCAUAUUGUCAAGUACGGGGUUAUCAAGUAUGGAAUACUUAGUAUUCCAAAGUGGGAUGAUAUUUUGUGGAUUUUUGAGUUGCAGACUGAGUUUACUCAUGGGUUUGGAUGCCAGAAAAGCCUAAAAUCCUUCAGACAACUCAAGACUUUUUUUUGUCAUUGUCUUGUAUUUGCAAGCUAACUUGUACUUAAUUCUUGUGUAAGCACUGUCAUCUUUUAGUAGCAAAAAUUUUGAUACCUUUCUUGUGGAAAAAAAAAAUCAGUAUCUACCGUAUCUUGGAAACAAUGUAAUUAUAAUGUGGUGUGUGUGGUGUGUGCGUGAGAAUGGUUCAGUAGUUAAUGCCAGCAGUCUUUUGCUUGAAUGUUUAAAGAUGCCUUCAAUGUGAUGCUGGCUGAUAGGUGAUUGCAGUUUUAAAAAUGUUAUUUACUGUGCAAAAUUUGUAUAAUAGCAAAA
rnacentral:lncRNA from 1 species